CAACCCUCAAGCCCUGCUUGGUGAUGGGUCUCGCCCGCGCGGCGGGCCCGAAACUCGUGGGCGUCGUCGUUCGGCUCCAAGCGUAGCAAAACCCUCGCUUGGGCGCCCGGACGGCGGUAGCCUUGAACGAAUUUUUACAA
rnacentral:misc_RNA from 1 species